UUGUCGAAUUCCUGCAAAAGCAGACCGCGAACACGUUAAACCUUACUGGGAACGUGGGUCUCGAGGGUUACCUCUUGCCCGCGCCCAACCCUCGCACGGCGCGCGUCUAGGCGCUCGUGGUGCGGGCUAACGAACCCCGGCGUGGCAUGCGCCAAGGAAAACUCAUAGAAGCGUCGGCCUCCUUUCGCCCCGUUCGCGGUGCGCGUUGGGUGAACUGACGUCUCUCCAAUGUCAUAACGACUCUCGGCAACGGAUAUCUCGGCUCUCGCAUCGAUGAAGAACGUAGCGAAAUGCGAUACUUGGUGUGAAUUGCAGAAUCCCGUGAACCAUCGAGUCUUUGAACGCAAGUUGCGCCCAAAGCCAUUCGGCCGAGGGCACGUCUGCCUGGGCGUCACGCAUCGCGUCGCCUCCCACACCCGCGCCCCAAGGGGUGACCGGGUGGUGGGGGCGGAGAUUGGCCCCCCGUGCGCGAGCCGCGCGGCUGGCCUAAAUGCGAACCCGGGCGACUCACGUUACGACCAGUGGUGGUUGAACCUUCAACUCGCGUGCUGUCUGUCGUCCUGUUUGAGUUGGCCGUCGGGCUUCGUCCCAGACCCUACGGCGCGAUCCUAUCGUGCCUUCGACCGCGACCCCA
rnacentral:rRNA from 1 species